GCAGAGGUGUGAACAGAGGUUAUGAUUCCUUGGCAUAUACAUACUAUAUAUAUUAAUUUACAGAUCUACAUCAUUAUAACACAUGUAACAAAGAACUGUUGUUCAAAAAACAUCAAGGAGAUUUAUUCUCAACUACAGAUCUGACUUCCACUUUGGCCCAGCUAACUAAAGAUUAAGUUACUGUCGUCUGAUUUGGAUCCAGGUACACAGAUCUCUCCAAGUUAAAUCAGCCCCCAGAGUAUGACAUAAAACAUUUCCUCCUUAUAAAACCCUUAAGACAAUUCCAAUCCAAGCUGUCAGGGUAUUGUGUAUUGUGAAAUGUUAAAAUCAAUCUGGAUACAACAAUUAUGGAAUUAAUGAGAGUCUGCUAUGAUUGAUGUAUCACAGGACCAAUGGGGUCAAGUGUGUUUUGACCGGGACGUACUAUCUUGGUUCCUGUGGAAUGCGAGGGAGUAAGGUUUCCUGUGUAGAGCGGAGAACAGCGAUGAGCAAUGUGCUGUGUGUGUGCAUGGGUGCUUUCGGCAAGCACUCAUGGAGGAAAGGACUGAAUUGAUUCUAUUUGUAUAUAGAUCAUGUAAAUAAAGUUUAAUCAACAGUUGGACUUCGUCUGCUGGAGUGAGUUUAUCCAGUGCUGUUUUCCACACGGGGAAACAGUCUGGAGAGAAGGAGGUGAACCGGGAUGGUGAAUUUUUGGAUUUCACUCUGCUACCCAUCACCCCCGCUGACACAAGCCAUGUCAUGUUGGGAUGAGAAAAAGGAAGACAUCUUUUUGGUGAGAUCUACUCAAGAGGCCUUACAUGGUUUAGGGCCGAUGUACCUGAGGGACCGCCUCACUCCCUACAAACCCCAGAGAUCCCUCCGUUCUGAGGACCAAGAUCUAUUGGAAGUCUCCAGUUUUAAGACCAGCAACUAGACGCAGAGCCUUUUCAGCAGUGGCGCCAUCUCUCUGGAACACCUUGCCACCUGAAGUUUGUGCCUUGCGGGACUUGUCGGCCUUCCGCAGAGCAUGUAAGACACACCUGUUUUGGCAGGCUUUUGAGUUCUCUUAUUGAUGUUUUAAAAGGUGCUUUUAGGAUGUUUUAAAGAUGUUUUUUAAAGAUGUUUUAAAGAUGUUUUUAAAUUGUUGAUUUUAGCCGGUUCUUGUAAGCCGCCCCGAGCCCUAGGGGAGUGGCGGCAUAUAAGUUUGAAAAAUAAAUCAAUAAA